rnacentral:rRNA from 1 species
UACGUAGAGUGCAAGCGUUGUCCGGAUUUAUUGGGUUUAAAGGGUGCGUAGGCGGUUCUGUAAGUCAGUGGUGAAAUACUCUAGCUUAACUAGAGGGGUGCCAAUGAUACUGCAGAACUUGAGUACAGAUGAGGUAGGCGGAAUUGACGGUGUAGCGGUGAAAUGCAUAGAUAUCGUCAAGAACACCGAUAGCGAAGGCAGCUUACUGGGCUGUAACUGACGCUGAUGCACGAAAGUGUGGGGAUCAAACAGG